rnacentral:rRNA from 1 species
UACGUAGGGUGCAAGCGUUGUCCGGAAUUAUUGGGCGUAAAGAGCGCGCAGGCGGUCGUUCAAGUCGCGUGUGAAAGCCCCCGGCUCAACUGGGGAGGGUCACGCGAUACUGAUCGACUCGAAGGCAGGAGAGGGAAGUGGAAUUCCCGGUGUAGUGGUGAAAUGCGUAGAUAUCGGGAGGAACACCAGUGGCGAAGGCGACUUUCUGGCCUAUAACUGACGCUGAGGCACGAAAGCGUGGGGAGCAAACAGG